AAAAAAAAUUAAGUCCUCCUCUUAUAAUUUCACGACUCAAUCUCAGUCUCUCUCUCCCUUUGCCGUCACUCUCUCUCUCUCCCUUUCUGGUUUGGUUGUUCCCCCUUGCCCUCACACUCUCUCUCUCCCUUCCUGGUUUGGCACCGCCAUUGGCUCUCAAUCUCUCAUCCUCUUUCAGCUGCGGCGAGGGCUUGAACGGCGCUGGCGAGGGUCGACUGCAUCUGUAUUGAAGAGGUCGAACAGCAAUAGGAGCUUCAUGGCCUACUGUUCUUGGUGGGCCAACUCACUGGACAAUUGGGCUUGUUGCAACCUUAAUCUCUAUCAGUAGCAUCAUUGCAGCUGACACUUACACAUUUCUGGGUGGCAAGGGUUAAAACACAAGAGAAAACCCAUCAGCACUACACAUUUGGGGAUUUAUUCAAUCACACCAUUUAGGGCUGGUUUGCUUUGAACGGCGGCUGCUAGGUGAAGGACGCUCAACGGCACACAUUUGGGGAUUUUGAUUGGUCUUAAAGCAUUGGAUUUGUAGCUAAUUGCAAGAGUGUCGUAAACAACCAAACAAUAUCGACUGCGGAUAUUACGUUAUGAGGAUGAUGAAGAAUGUACUUAUCAAUGCCCCUCAUAUCAAAUAUUUCUUGUCGAAACAG